CCAACGUGGAUACUCCCGAGUGGUCCCUCUCCCCAGGCUCUGUCCAGGUGGCAUGGAGGAGCACAGGGCUCAGUGCCCCGUGAUGUGCAGUCCUUUCCCACAACAUUGGAGAUCAAGCUGGCCCUUGAGCCUGCGCCUGCACAUUCCUACAGCUUCUCAGAGUCCUAUGGACAAUGCCUGAGGAGACAAACCAGGCAGGAAACAUGU